UACAGAGGGGGCAAGCGUUAUUCGGAAUUAUUGGGCGUAAAGGGCGCGUAGGCGGUUCGUUAAGUCAGAUGUGUAAUCCCCGAGCUCAACUUGGGAACUGCAUCUGAGACUGGCAGACUAGAGUACUGGAGAGGGUGGUAGAAUUCCACGUGUAGCGGUGAAAUGCGUAGAGAUGUGGAGGAAUACCAGUGGCGAAGGCGGCCACCUGGACAGUAACUGACGCUGAGGCGCGAAAGUGUGGGUAGCAAACAGG
rnacentral:rRNA from 1 species